rnacentral:lncRNA from 1 species
AGAGGAGAGCGGAAGGGAUUGCUGAGGGACCCUGGCAGGCGGGGUGGGAGAGAGGUCAGGCGGCCAGUGGAGCUGCAGCUGACAGCUUCCAGGGAGGAGAGUUUUUGAGAAGGGGCCAGAGGGUGGAGAGGGUCCCUCGAAAAAGCUGAGGCAAGAUGGCAGGAAGUUUUGUGCGAAGGGGGAGAGGGUGGUGUUGGUCCCUUUAAGAUCCUGAGGAAACACCUGAGGAAGGAAGGCGAAGGGGUGAGUGCUGGGAGGGUGGAUGUUAGCAGGGCUCCACUGGCUUGUGGGGUGUGCGUGGUGGGGAUGGCGCGCGCGCGUGCAUUCGGCAGAGGAAACUCAGAAAUGGAAAACUCUGUGAGAUAAGUUUGGUGUCAAACAUCAUAGCUAAACAUUUUCAUUAAAAGAAGUUUGGAGUCACCUAAAUGUGGAGGUAAGGAGCUAACAUCUGUCUAACAGAUUAAUUGGCCAUUGUUGUCAUUUUAUGAAUCACAUAAAAAAGGCUUUAGUAAAUGACACUUGUUCAACCAUACAGGAAGUAAAUUUGGCAUUUAGUUAAUUCUCUCAGAUUUUAAGAUGAUGUGAGCAGAUUUACAUGCAUAAAAAACAUCUGGCUUACAACAAUUAAAGCAAUGUUAAAUAAGCAAAAA